rnacentral:misc_RNA from 1 species
GUGGAAUUUAGAAAUUGGUGGUAAUAUGAACCCACUUUCAGUAGGUUCUUAAGUUAGAAUAGAAUUUAGAUAUUGAAUUAAUAUCAUCACUGUACAAGUUAAUGAGUGAAGGGCUUUUAUUUAAUAUUUGUAUUGGAAAAAUUAAGUUGAAAGGGAAGUUCUACAAGACUCUGAAAUGUGAAUCUACCAUUAUGAUGUAGGCGAUGAGUACUAGGUAGUGAAGAAACAAUACAUAUACAAAAUUAUUGCAUAUUUCUCUCCAUAAAAGAAUGAGUAGAUGUUAGGCAGGCAUCUGAAUCUAUCCUACGUCACCUAGAUUUUGUGGAAGAUGUUACCCAAACUAGGUGGAAGGGAAGGAAAAGAAUUUGUGUAGUUGACCCAUCUAGUUUGGGAGUAGAAAUGUGUUGAGUGGAGUUGAGUUUAUAUUUCAAAAAAUAGUGAUGAUCAAAUAAUGAACAUCAAUAGAAAAAUAAAAAAA